AACAAGGCGUACCUGCGGACCUGCGGAGGGAUCAUUACCGAGUACCGGGUCUUCGGGCCCUGCUCCCACCCCAUGUGUACCUACCACUUUUUCGUUGCCUCGGCGGGGUUGAUCCCGCGCGGCCCUGCGCCGCGUGGGGGACCCGCCGGGGGGACACAUCCAAACUCUAAUUUAACGUCGAGUCUGAGAAAACACAAAUAAGUCAAAACUUUUAGCAACGGAUCUCAGAUCGGAAGAGCA
rnacentral:misc_RNA from 1 species